rnacentral:rRNA from 1 species
UACGUAGGGGGCAAGCGUUGUCCGGAAUUAUUGGGCGUAAAGAGCGUGUAGGCGGCCAGAUAAGUCCGCUGUGAAAUCUCGAGGCUCAACCUCGAGACGUCGGUUGAAACCGUAAGGCUAGAGUCCGGAAGAGGAGAGUGGAAUUCCCGGUGUAGCGGUGAAAUGCGCAGAUAUCGGGAAGAACACCCGUGGCGAAGGCGGCUCUCUGGGACGGUACUGACGCUGAGACGCGAAAGCGUGGGGAGCGAACAGG